rnacentral:rRNA from 1 species
GGCAUGGGCGGAAAGCGUGGAACCAGCCAUGCCGCGGUGCAGGGAAGACGGCUUUCUGAGUUGUAAACUGCUUUUGUACGGAAGAAAAAAGCCAUGCGUGGCGAAUUGCCGGUACCGUACGAAUAAGCACCGGCUAACUCCGUGCCAGCAGCCGCGGUAAUACGAAUUUUA